GUCGGAUACCUAAUUUUGUUUUCACAAAACUAUUUUUCUUGUUACAGAACUGUGAUUGGAAUAAAAAGCAAAGAUGGGAUCGUUAUGGGAGUUGAAAAACUGAUAGCUUCAAAGAUGAUGUUACCCGAUUCUAAUCGAAGAAUCCACUCCGUUCAUCGCCAUUCCGGCAUGGCUGUGGCUUGAUUAGCGGCUGACGGUAGGCAAAUUGUGGCCCGUGCUAAAUCUGAAGCUACUAAUUACCAAAGCGUAUACGGUGAGCCCAUUCCUGUCAAAGAACUUGUUGAACGUGUUGCGAGUUAUGUGCAUUUAUGCACGCUAUACUGGUGGCUUAUGCCCUUUGGCUGUGGGAUAAUUCUCGGCGGUUAUGAUAGAGAUGGUCCCCAAUUAUAUAUGAUUGAACCGUCUGACAUCUCCUAUGUCAGUUCAUUUCUCUCGAUUAUAGUUUCAUCUGUUUCCUUGUUUGUUGAUAGUACAUUAGAA